rnacentral:rRNA from 1 species
CUCCAUGAAGCUGGAUUCGCUAGUAAUCGCGCAUCAGCCACGGCGCGGUGAAUACGUUCCCGGGCCCUGUACACACCGCCCGUCAAGCCAUGGAAGCCGGGGGUGCCUGAAGUGCGCUGCCGCAAGGAGCGCCCUAGGGUAAAACCGGUGACUGGGGCUAAGUCGUAACAAGGUAUC